ensembl:lncRNA
GAGAGAGAUCUGUUUUUGCUUAGGUCAGAGGUUAUGCAAUUUUAACAAAAGACUGACCAUUCAUCCCCUACUGACUUGCAGGAGAGAGAGUGAGUGAGUAUCAAAGUGAGUGAGUGAGGGAGAGAGAGCGAGAGAGAACUGCUAUUGCCCAGGUCAGAGGUCAUGCAGUUUUAACAAAAGACUGACCAUUCAGACCCUACUGACUUGCAGGAGAGAGAGAUGAGUGAGUGAGUGAGUGAGUGACUGAGUGACUGAGUGAGUGAGAGGGGGAGAGAGAGAGAGAGGGGGGGAGAGAGUGAUCUGCUUUUGCUUACAACUAUUCGAGUUGUUCCAGUCCUACCGGACUGUGCAACCAGGCCACAAGAUGGCCCCGGCGCCGAGAGAGAGAGAGAGAGAGUGAGAUCUGCUUUUGCCCAGGUCAGAGGUCAUGCAGUCUUUACCAAAAGACUGACCAUUCAGACCCUACUGACUUGCAGGAGAGAGAGAGAGAUGAGAGAGUGAGUGAGUGAGUGAGUGAGUGAGAGAGAGGGGGAGAGAGAGAGAGGGUGAGAGAGAGAGAGAGAGAGAGAGAGAGAGAGAG